rnacentral:rRNA from 1 species
GUGUCAGCAGCCGCGGUAAGACGUAGGAGGCGAGCGUUAUCCGGAAUCACUGGGCGUAAAGCGCAUGUAGGCGGCUGUACAAGUCGUGUGUUAAAGCCCCUGGCUCAACUGGGGGAGGUCAUGCGAGACUGUGCGGCUGGAGGGCAGGAGAGGCACGUGGAACUCCCGGUGUAGCGGUGGAAUGCGUAGAGAUCGGGAAGAACAUCAGUGGCGAAGGCGACGUGCUGGGCUGCACCUGACGCUGAGAUGCGAAAGUGUGGGGAGCAAACGGGAUUAGAUACCCCGGUAGUCCACACCCUAAACGAUGAACUCUAGGUGUGGGUGGGAAAACCAUCCGUGCCGAAGCCAACGCGUUAAGAGUUCCGCCUGGGGACUAUGAGCGCAAGCUUAAA